ACUAAGCGUACACGGUGGAUGCCCUGGCAGUCAGAGGCGAUGAAGGACGUGCUAAUCUGCGAAAAGCGUCGGUAAGGUGAUAUGAACCGUUAUAACCGGCGAUGUCCGAAUGGGGAAACCCAGUGCAAUUCGUUGCACUAUCGUUAACUGAAUACAUAGGUUAACGAGGCGAACCGGGGGAACUGAAACAUCUAAGUACCCCGAGGAAAAGAAAUCAACCGAGAUUCCCCCAGUAGCGGCGAGCGAACGGGGAGCAGCCCAGAGUCUGAAUCAGCUUGUGUGUUAGUGGAACGGUCUGGAAAGUCCGACGGUACAGGGUGAUAGUCCCGUACACCAAAAUGCACAGGUUGUGAACUCGAAGAGUAGGGCGGGACACGUGGUAUCCUGUCUGAAUAUGGGGGGACCAUCCUCCAAGGCUAAAUACUCCUGACUGACCGAUAGUGAACCAGUACCGUGAGGGAAAGGCGAAAAGAACCCCGGCGAGGGGAGUGAAAAAGAACCUGAAACCGUGUACGUACAAGCAGUGGGAGCACCUUCGGGUGUGACUGCGUACCUUUUGUAUAAUGGGUCAGCGACUUAUAUUCUGUAGCAAGGUUAACCGUAUAGGGGAGCCGCAGGGAAACCGAGUCUUAACUGGGCGUUAAGUUGCAGGGUAUAGACCCGAAACCCGGUGAUCUAGCCAUGGGCAGGUUGAAGGUUGGGUAACACUAACUGGAGGACCGAACCGACUAAUGUUGAAAAAUUAGCGGAUGACUUGUGGCUGGGGGUGAAAGGCCAAUCAAACCGGGAGAUAGCUGGUUCUCCCCGAAAGCUAUUUAGGUAGCGCCUCGUGAAUUCAUCUUCGGGGGUAGAGCACUGUUUCGGCUAGGGGGUCAUCCCGACUUACCAACCCGAUGCAAACUACGAAUACCGAAGAAUGUUAUCACGGGAGACACACGGCGGGUGCUAACGUCCGUCGUGAAGAGGGAAACAACCCAGACCGCCAGCUAAGGUCCCAAAGUCAUGGUUAAGUGGGAAACGAUGUGGGAAGGCACAGACAGCCAGGAUGUUGGCUUAGAAGCAGCCAUCAUUUAAAGAAAGCGUAAUAGCUCACUGGUCGAGUCGGCCUGCGCGGAAGAUGUAACGGGGCUAAACCAUGCACCGAAGCUGCGGCAGCGACACUAUGUGUUGUUGGGUAGGGGAGCGUUCUGUAAGCCUGCGAAGGUGUGCUGUGAGGCAUGCUGGAGGUAUCAGAAGUGCGAAUGCUGACAUAAGUAACGAUAAAGCGGGUGAAAAGCCCGCUCGCCGGAAGACCAAGGGUUCCUGUCCAACGUUAAUCGGGGCAGGGUGAGUCGACCCCUAAGGCGAGGCCGAAAGGCGUAGUCGAUGGGAAACAGGUUAAUAUUCCUGUACUUGGUGUUACUGCGAAGGGGGGACGGAGAAGGCUAUGUUAGCCGGGCGACGGUUGUCCCGGUUUAAGCAUGUAGGCUGGUUGUCCAGGCAAAUCCGGAUAAUCAAGGCUGAGGUGUGAUGACGAGGCACUACGGUGCUGAAGUAACAAAUGCCCUGCUUCCAGGAAAAGCCUCUAAGCAUCAGGUAACAUCAAAUCGUACCCCAAACCGACACAGGUGGUCAGGUAGAGAAUACCAAGGCGCUUGAGAGAACUCGGGUGAAGGAACUAGGCAAAAUGGUGCCGUAACUUCGGGAGAAGGCACGCUGGUGUGUAGGUGAAGUCCCUGCGGAUGGAGCUGAGACCAGUCGAAGAUACCAGCUGGCUGCAACUGUUUAUUAAAAACACAGCACUGUGCAAACACGAAAGUGGACGUAUACGGUGUGACGCCUGCCCGGUGCCGGAAGGUUAAUUGAUGGGGUUAUCCGUAAGGAGAAGCUCUUGAUCGAAGCCCCGGUAAACGGCGGCCGUAACUAUAACGGUCCUAAGGUAGCGAAAUUCCUUGUCGGGUAAGUUCCGACCUGCACGAAUGGCGUAAUGAUGGCCAGGCUGUCUCCACCCGAGACUCAGUGAAAUUGAACUCGCUGUGAAGAUGCAGUGUACCCGCGGCAAGACGGAAAGACCCCGUGAACCUUUACUAUAGCUUGACACUGAACAUUGAGCCUUGAUGUGUAGGAUAGGUGGGAGGCUUUGAAGCGUGGACGCCAGUCUGCGUGGAGCCAACCUUGAAAUACCACCCUUUAAUGUUUGAUGUUCUAACGUUGGCCCCUUAUCGGGGUUGCGGACAGUGUCUGGUGGGUAGUUUGACUGGGGCGGUCUCCUCCCAAAGCGUAACGGAGGAGCACGAAGGUUAGCUAAUCCUGGUCGGACAUCAGGAGGUUAGUGCAAUGGCAUAAGCUAGCUUGACUGCGAGCGUGACGGCGCGAGCAGGUGCGAAAGCAGGUCAUAGUGAUCCGGUGGUUCUGAAUGGAAGGGCCAUCGCUCAACGGAUAAAAGGUACUCCGGGGAUAACAGGCUGAUACCGCCCAAGAGUUCAUAUCGACGGCGGUGUUUGGCACCUCGAUGUCGGCUCAUCACAUCCUGGGGCUGAAGUAGGUCCCAAGGGUAUGGCUGUUCGCCAUUUAAAGUGGUACGCGAGCUGGGUUUAGAACGUCGUGAGACAGUUCGGUCCCUAUCUGCCGUGGGCGCUGGAGAAUUGAGGGGGGCUGCUCCUAGUACGAGAGGACCGGAGUGGACGCAUCACUGGUGUUCGGGUUGUCAUGCCAAUGGCACUGCCCGGUAGCUAAAUGCGGAAGAGAUAAGUGCUGAAAGCAUCUAAGCACGAAACUUGCCCCGAGAUGAGUUCUCCCUGAGACUAUAAGUCUCCUGAAGGAACGUUAAAGACGAUGACGUUGAUAGGCCGGGUGUGUAAGCGCAGCGAUGCGUUGAGCUAACCGGUACUAAUGAACCGUGAGGCUUAACC
rnacentral:rRNA from 1 species